GGAAUGCAUUUGAAAAGCUCAGAUACACGGAACAGAUCGUCAUAUCCAGCAUGAUGCAGAAUGAGGAACAUAUGGCUGAUGCCCUGAACAGGGCCAGAUUCAAGUACCACAGAGGAUAGAAAAUUCACAUCUCAAAGAAGUGAGGAUUUGCCAAGAUGACUGAAGAUGCACUGGAAGACGCGGUGGCUGAGAAGCAGGGCAUGCUGAUGGCUGUACUCUCACACAGUCACCGGGAGUAAGCCACUAAUGCUGGGUUUUAUCCAAGCUGAGGCCCCUAGAAUAUGAGUGGAACUACUAAAGCUGCUGAGAGUGACCGUGUGAAGCCACAGUACUUCCAACCAGUCCAACUAGAACCUCCACAUUCUCAAGUUGCAGAAUUAACUCUAAAGAGAGAAGGUAAAACUCACCGACCAGCUGGGGUGGCUUGAAGACCCGGUGAGCGAUGCUGACCAGCAGUCUGCCUUUCCAAUACUUGCCUACAGGAAGGCAAACCUGCUGUGUAAGGGUUCAGGUCCCACAUGCAUGUGUCUGAAGCCAGUUUGCCACGACCAGGCCCUGCAGCCCCUUUCUGCAGUCUGUAAGACAGCAGCAGUGGAAACACCUGUGUGAGGCACAGCCAGGAAGUCCAGCCCCACUGCUGCUGAGCCCACUUGAUUGCCCACCCUGGCAGGGGCGGAGCCUUAUGUCUGCCACACCCAUCCAGCUGUGUUACACUCCUUAGCACUUCAGGCAUCUCCUACAAGGUCACUGUUUCUGUCCCAUGUAACCUGUAGCCACCACGGUGGGCGGAUCACGUUUGGGGAGGGUGAAGAGGAGCUGGACAGGCACUGGGCAGCUCUACAUCAGGAGGACCCUGGCUCUCCAUUCAUCAUGUUGAGAGGGCAGCAGCUCACAGCGUGCAUCAGGAGAGCUGGAGUAGACGAGGCCCAAGUAUGUUGAGAAUUUGCAGCACCUGGAUAAAGGGUCGGCAUGGAUGAAGUUUUCACCUCAGCUCAAGCCGGAUUUCUCAGGUACCUGAGACUUCAGCAGCAAUGACCACUGUUGGUUAUCUCCACUGAUGACUUCAUUCUCUCUCUCCAUAAAUCUGCAUACAGCAUAGCUUUUUUCCAGCUUUCUGUCAGC